AGAGUUUGAUCCUGGCUCAGAUUGAACGCUGGCGGCAGGCUUAACACAUGCAAGUCGAGCGGAGUGAUGGUGCUUGCACUAUCACUUAGCGGCGGACGGGUGAGUAAUGCUUAGGAAUCUGCCUAUUAGUGGGGGACAACAUUUCGAAAGGAAUGCUAAUACCGCAUACGUCCUACGGGAGAAAGCAGGGGAUCUUCGGACCUUGCGCUAAUAGAUGAGCCUAAGUCGGAUUAGCUAGUUGGUGGGGUAAAGGCCUACCAAGGCGACGAUCUGUAGCGGGUCUGAGAGGAUGAUCCGCCACACUGGGACCGAGACACGGCCCAGACUCCUACGGGAGGCAGCAGUGGGGAAUAUUGGACAAUGGGCGCAAGCCUGAUCCAGCCAUGCCGCGUGUGUGAAGAAGGCCUUAUGGUUGUAAAGCACUUUAAGCGAGGAGGAGGCUACUGAAGUUAAUACCUUCAGAUAGUGGACGUUACUCGCAGAAUAAGCACCGGCUAACUCUGUGCCAGCAGCCGCGGUAAUACAGAGGGUGCAAGCGUUAAUCGGAUUUACUGGGCGUAAAGCGCGCGUAGGCGGCUAAUUAAGUCAAAUGUGAAAUCCCCGAGCUUAACUUGGGAAUUGCAUUCGAUACUGGUUAGCUAGAGUGUGGGAGAGGAUGGUAGAAUUCCAGGUGUAGCGGUGAAAUGCGUAGAGAUCUGGAGGAAUACCGAUGGCGAAGGCAGCCAUCUGGCCUAACACUGACGCUGAGGUGCGAAAGCAUGGGGAGCAAACAGGAUUAGAUACCCUGGUAGUCCAUGCCGUAAACGAUGUCUACUAGCCGUUGGGGCCUUUGAGGCUUUAGUGGCGCAGCUAACGCGAUAAGUAGACCGCCUGGGGAGUACGGUCGCAAGACUAAAACUCAAAUGAAUUGACGGGGGCCCGCACAAGCGGUGGAGCAUGUGGUUUAAUUCGAUGCAACGCGAAGAACCUUACCUGGCCUUGACAUAGUAAGAACUUUCCAGAGGUGGAUUGGUGCCUUCGGGAACUUACAUACAGGUGCUGCAUGGCUGUCGUCAGCUCGUGUCGUGAGAUGUUGGGUUAAGUCCCGCAACGAGCGCAACCCUUUUCCUUAUUUGCCAGCGAGUAAUGUCGGGAACUUUAAGGAUACUGCCAGUGACAAACUGGAGGAAGGCGGGGACGACGUCAAGUCAUCAUGGCCCUUACGGCCAGGGCUACACACGUGCUACAAUGGUCGGUACAAAGGGUUGCUACCUAGCGAUAGGAUGCUAAUCUCAAAAAGCCGAUCGUAGUCCGGAUUGGAGUCUGCAACUCGACUCCAUGAAGUCG
rnacentral:rRNA from 1 species